CCGUAGGUGAACCUGCG
rnacentral:rRNA from 1 species